rnacentral:rRNA from 1 species
ACGCUCGACACCUACUGGAGGCAGCAGUGAGGAAUAUUGGUCAAUGGGCGCAGGCCUGAACCAGCCAAGUAGCGUGAAGGAUGACUGCCCUAUGGGUUGUAAACUUCUUUUAUAUGGGAAUAAAGUUUUCCACGUGUGGAAUUUUGUAUGUACCAUAUGAAUAAGGAUCGGCUAACUCCGUGCCCGCAGCCGCGGUAAUCUGAGCGGGCUGGCAAGGC